UGCAACGAUAAACGACCGUCGC
rnacentral:siRNA from 1 species